rnacentral:rRNA from 1 species
AUUGAACGCUGGCGGCAGGCCUAACACAUGCAAGUCGAGCGAAGUGGCGAACGGGUGAGUCACACGCGGGUAACCUGCCCUCCUUUUUGGGAUCAGACUUGGAAACGGGGUCUAAUACCGCAUAAAGGGGGAUGGGCUCGCGGCCUAUCAGCUUGUUGGUGGGGUGAUGGCCUACAAAGGCGGUGACGGGUAGCCGGCCUGAGCGGGUGACAUGCCAUAGUGUGGCUGAGAUACGGCCCAGCCUCGUACGGGAUGCAGCAGUGGGGGAUAUGGCGCAAUGGGCGAAAGCCUGAUGCAGCGACGCCGCGUGGGGGAUGAAGGCUUUCGGGUUGUAAACCUCUUUCGCUAUCGAACGGGUAUGGGGAGAAGUAGCGCCGGCUAACUACGUGCCAGCAGCCGCGGUAAUUC